GACCCUGUAGCCCAGUGGAUAAGGCGCCUGCCUUCUAAGCAGGAGACCGCGCGUUCGAUUCGCGCCAGGGUCGC
rnacentral:tRNA from 1 species